rnacentral:ncRNA from 1 species
UGACCUCGGAUCAGGUAGGGAUACCCGCUGAACUUAAGCAUAUCAAUAAGCGGAGGAAAAGAAACCAACCGGGAUUGCCUCAGUAACGGCGAGUGAAGCGGCAAGAGCUCAAAUUUGAAAGCUGGCUCCUUCGGAGUCCGCAUUGUAAUUUGCAGAGGAUGCUUUGGGUGCGGCCCCCGUCUAAGUGCCCUGGAACGGGCCGUCAGAGAGGGUGAGAAUCCCGUCUUGGGCGGGGUGUCCGUGCCCGUGUAAAGCUCCUUCGACGAGUCGAGUUGUUUGGGAAUGCAGCUCUAAAUGGGUGGUAAAUUUCAUCUAAAGCUAAAUACUGGCCGGAGACCGAUAGCGCACAAGUAGAGUGAUCGAAAGAUGAAAAGCACUUUGAAAAGAGAGUUAAACAGCACGUGAAAUUGUUGAAAGGGAAGCGCUUGCAACCAGACUCGCCCGCGGGGUUCAGCCGGCAUUCGUGCCGGUGUACUUCCCCGUGGGCGGGCCAGCGUCGGUUUGGGCGGCCGGUCAAAGGCCCCUGGAAUGUAGUGCCCUCCGGGGCACCUUAUAGCCAGGGGUGCAAUGCGGCCAGCCUAGACCGAGGAACGCGCUUCGGCUCGGACGCUGGCAUAAUGGUUGUAAACGACCCGUCUUGAAACACGGACCAAGGAGUCUAACAUCUACGCGAGUGUUCGGGUGUCAAACCCGUGCGCGCAGUGAAAGCGAACGGAGGUGGGAGCCCCCUCGUGGGGCGCACCAUCGACCGAUCCUGAUGUCUCGGAUGGAUUUGAGUAGAGCGUAAAUGUGGGGGACCCGAAAGAUGGUGAACUAUGCCUGAAUAGGGCGAAGCCAGAGGAAACUCUAGUGGAGGCUCGCAGCGGUUCUGACGUGCAAAUCGAUCGUCAAAUUUGGGUAUAGGGGCGAAAGACUAAUCGAACCAUCUAGUAGCUGGUUCCUGCCGAAGUUUCCCUCAGGAUAGCAGUAACGUAUAAUCAGUUUUAUGAGGUAAAGCGAAUGAUUAGAGGCAUUGGGGUUGAAACAACCUUAACCUAUUCUCAAACUUUAAAUAUGUAAGAAGCCCUUGUUUCUUAAUUGAACGUGGGCAUUAGAAUGAAACGUUACCUAGUGGGCCAUUUUUGGUAAGCAGAACUGGCGAUGCGGGAUGAACCGAACGCGAGGUUAAGGUGCCGGAAUGCACGCUCAUCAGACACCA